rnacentral:lncRNA from 1 species
AGUUGUGGUUGGGCAGAGGCAGGGAUCUUCUCCAGUGGUCAUUAGUAAUGCACUUUGUGGUCCUUAUUGGGUGCUGGCGAAGCAUAAGAGGAGAUUCUUAACGUCAGGAAUAUCGGCCUUAGCAUCUUUCUUAUUAAAAAUUAGAUUCUCUUUCUCUACUUGAGAAGGUUCUUACCAGGCAUACUACUCAUCGGUUAUUUUGCCCUUUGGGAUCGAAACAACCUAUUAAGGGUUGUCGCCUACAUAACCUACCUCCGGAAGAAGGUCUCAGAUCACUGUAGUUCGAGCCCUUUUGUUAAAGCAGUUCCUGUACUUUGAAUGAAUUCAAGCUAGUAAAGUAGUCUGCUUGAAGGGGGCCCUCCUCACCAUUAUUGGGUGCUGGCGAAGCAUAAGGGGAGAUUCUUAACGUCAGGAAUAUCGGCCUUAUCAUCUUUCGUAUUAAAAAUUAGAUUCUCUUUCUCUACUUGAGAAGGUUCUUACCAGGCAUACUACUCAUCGGUUAUUUUGCCCUUUGGGAUCGAAACAACCUAUUAAGGGUUGUCGCCUACAUAACCUACCUCCGGAAGAAGGUCUCAGAUCACUGUAGUUCGAGCCCUUUUGUUAAAGCAGUUCCUGUACUUUGAAUGAAUUCAAGCUAGUAAAG